rnacentral:rRNA from 1 species
CACUUCGGGUGUCGAGCGGCGGACGGCUGAGUAACAUGUAGGAACGUACCCCAAAGUGAGGCAUAAGCACCGGAAACGGUGUCUAAUACCGCAUGUGCUCUAUGGAGUAAAGCCUUCGGGCGCUUUGGGAACGGCCUGCACAUGAUUAGCUUGUUGGUGAGGUAAUGGCUCACCAAGGCGACGAUCAUUAGCUGGUCUGAGAGGAUGAUCAGCCAGACUGGGACUGAGACACGGCCCAGACUCCUACGGGAGGCAGCAGUAGGGAAUUUUCCACAAUGGGCGAAAGCCUGAUGGAGCAACGCCGCGUGCAGGAUGAACCCCUUCGGGGCGUAAACUGCUUUUAUAGGUGAAGAUUAUGACGGUAACUUAUGAAUAAGGAUCGGCUAACUCCGUGCCAGCAGCCGCGGUCAUACGGAGGGUCCAAGCGUUAUCCGGAAUUACUGGGCGUAAAGAGUUGCGUAGGCGGUUAAGUAAGCGAAUAGUGAAACUGUGUGGCUCAACCAUGCAUCCAUUAUUCGAACUGCUUUGACUAGAGAAUGGAAGAGGUCGCUGGAAUUCCUGGUGUAGGGGUAAAAUCCGUGGAUAUCAGGAGGAACACCGAUGGCGUAGGCAGGCGACUGGUCCAUUUCUGACGCUGAGGCACGAAAGCGUGGGGAGCGAUCGGGAUUAGAUACCCCGGUAGUCCACGCCGUAAACGAUGGAUGCUAGCUGUGUGGAGUAUCGACCCUCUGCGUAGCGAAGCUAACGCGUUAAGCAUCCCGCCUGUGGAGUACGAGCGCAAGCUUAAAACAUAAAGGAAUUGACGGGGACCCGCACAAGCGGUGGAGCGUGUUGUUUAAUUCGAUGGUAAGCGAAGAACCUUACCCAGGUUUGACAUCCU